rnacentral:tRNA from 1 species
GGGUUGUUGGGUGAAUUGGUUAAACCAGCAGACUGUAAAUCUGCCGCCUCUGGCAUCCAAGUUCGAGUCUUGGGCAACCCA